GAAUUGAUUUUUUAUCUAUUGUCUAGGUAAAUAUAAGUGGUCUCUUUUGUGUUCUUUCACAGUGUUUUCUUUAGUUGAUUUUGAACAGUUUGAUCAUAACAUCACUAUUCGAUUUAGUCGUGGAACCAAAAAGAAGAAGAUCCGAGUUAAGAAGCCAAGAAGAGGUAUCCAAUCACGAGGUGGUUGAGAGAUUGAAGUGAUGCAGUAUUCCAAUCACUUUAAUCAGGUUCUGUUGUGGCGAAGGUUCAGAAUCAAAUGAAUAGUGAAGGACACAAUUUGGAAUAAUUAUUUCUGUUCCAUAUGCCAUAGCACGAAUCAAGUCUUUUAUUUCCGUUCGGAUUGCCAGUCCUAUAUGUCACUGCAAACCUGAUCCGGGAGCAUUGAUGGACCCAUCUCCAGAGCUUUCUUUGAGUAAAAUAGCUCUGACUUACCUUAUGAAAACUGAAACAAGAGACUUUCAGGUUUCCUAGCAUAGACUUGAACAGCUUUGGUUCCGAGAAUGAUGGACUUGAUCUAUUAGUUUUCACUUGUACUU